UGAGAAUAAGUAUCCUAUGAGAAUAAGUA
rnacentral:piRNA from 1 species